GAUGAACGCUAGCUACAGGCUUAACACAUGCAAGUCGAGGGGCAGCAUUGGAGUAGCAAUACUUCAGAUGGCGACCGGCGCACGGGUGAGUAACACGUAUCCAACCUGCCGCUUACUCGGGGAUAGCCUUUCGAAAGAAAGAUUAAUACCCGAUGGUAUAAAGAGUUCGCAUGUUCUCUUUAUUAAAGAAUUUCGGUAAGCGAUGGGGAUGCGUUCCAUUAGAUAGUUGGCGGGGUAACGGCCCACCAAGUCUACGAUGGAUAGGGGUUCUGAGAGGAAGGUCCCCCACAUUGGAACUGAGACACGGUCCAAACUCCUACGGGAGGCAGCAGUGAGGAAUAUUGGUCAAUGGACGAGAGUCUGAACCAGCCAAGUAGCGUGAAGGAUGACUGCCCUAUGGGUUGUAAACUUCUUUUAUAAGGGAAGAUAAUGACGGUACCUUAUGAAUAAGCACCGGCUAACUCCGUG
rnacentral:rRNA from 1 species